rfam:Schistosoma mansoni strain Puerto Rico chromosome 6, complete genome
GUCCAGCUGACGAGUCCCUGAUAGGACGAAACGCGCAUCCUGGAU